UCAAGCUAUAAAGAGCGCAAGGGGAAUGCCUUGGCAUCAGGAGCCGACGAAGGACGUGACAAGCUGCGAUAAGCCACGGGGAGGAGCAAAUAUCCGAUAUAUCCGUGGAUUUCCGAAUGGGGGAACCCGCUCAAGCAAUACUUGAGCAUCGUGCGUUGAAUCAAAUAGGCGUACGAAGGGAACGGCCUGAACUGAAACAUCUAAGUAGGGCCAGGAAAAGACAUCAACCGAGAUUCCGCUAGUAGUGGCGAGCGAACGCGGAGGAGGCCAAACCGAGGGACGCAAGUUCUUCGGGGUUGCGGACAGACAUCAUGACCAGAGGAAGUUAGGAGAACGGCGUGGGAAAGCCGGCCAUAGAAGGUGAGAGCCCUGUAUCUGAAAAUGAAGACUGGCAGUCUGGAUCCAGAGUACCGCGGGACACGUGAAACCCCGUGGGAAACCGGGUGGACCACCAUCCAAGCCUAAAUACUACCUGAUGACCGAUAGAGGAGCAGUACCGUGAGGGAAAGGUGAAAAGGACCCCGGGAGGGGAGUGAAAGAGAACCUGAAACCUUGUGCUUACAAGCACUCAAAGCACGUUAAAGUGUGAUGAGGUACUUUUUGUAGAACGGUCCGGCGAGUUAUAGUAACGAGCAAGCUUAAGGUAUUCAGUACCGGAGGCGAAGCGAGAGCGAGUCUGAAUAGGGCGCAUAAAGUUCGUUGCCAUAGACCCGAAACCGGGUGACCUAACCAUGAGCAGGCUGAAGUGAGAGUAAAAUCUCAUGGAGGGCCGAACGCACGUUCGUUGCAAUGACCGGCGAUGACUUGUGGUUAGCGGAGAAAUUCCAAUCGAACUCGGAGAUAGCUGGUUCUCCCCGAAAUAGCUUUAGGGCUAGCCUCAUAUUAGAUACCCGGAGGUAAAGCACUGAAUGGCCUAGCGCCCGAGAGGGUAGCGAAGCCUAUCAAACUAAGAAUGCCGGAGUAUUGAUGUAUGGGAGUCAGACAGUGUGAGAUAAAUCUCAUUGUCAAAAGGGAAACAGCCCAGAUCUACAGCUAAGGUCCCAAAUUGUAUCUAAGUGGAAAACGAUGUGGAAAUACGCAGACAACCAGGAUGUUGGCUCAGAAGCAGCCACUCAUUUAAAGAGUGCGUAAUAGCUCACUGGUCGAGCGUCUCUGCGCGGAAAAUUUAACGGGGCUAAGAUACAAACCGAAGCUUAGGCUGCAUCGUAAGAUGCGGGGUAGGGGAGCGUUGUGUAAGCGGAGAAACAGUAGCGUAAGCGGCUGUGGAGUUUACAGAAGUGAGAAUGCCGGAAUGAGUAGCGCGAAUGUGGUGAGAAUCCACAUGGCCGGAAACCUCAGGUUUUUGGAGGAAGGUUCGUCCGCUCCAAGUUAGGCGGGAGCUAAGGUCAGGCCGAAAGGCGUAGCCGAUGCACAGACGGUAGAGAUUCCGUCCCCACCGAAAGAUUUAAGCACAGGGACACUUUUUGAAGGUCGGAGCCAGGUGUUGGUUCUGGUAGUGAUCGAGGGAAAUAUAGUACCGAAGUCCGGCUGGAAGAGAGGCGAGAAAAGCUGUGUGUAUAUCUAAGGUGCCCGUACCGCAAACCGACACAGGUAGGUAGGAAGAAGAUUCUAAGGCCAACGGGAGAAGGGUUGUUAAGGAACUCGGCAAAUUGACCCCGUAACUUCGGGAGAAGGGGUGCUCCAGAGAUGGAGCCGCAGAGAAUCGGCCCAAGCAACUGUUUACCAAAAACACAGGUUUGUGCUAAAUCGAAAGAUGACGUAUACGAGCUGACGCCUGCCCGGUGCUGGAAGGUUAAGAGGAGAUGUGCAAGCAUUGAAUCGAAGCCCCAGUGAACGGCGGCCGUAACUAUAACGGUCCUAAGGUAGCGAAAUUCCUUGUCAGGUAAG
rnacentral:rRNA from 1 species